rnacentral:rRNA from 1 species
UACGAGGGGGCGAGCGUUGUUCGGAAUUAUUGGGCGUAAAGGGUGCGUAGGCGGUUCCGCAAGUCCUGUGUGAAAUCUUCGGGCUCAACUCGAAGUCUGCACGGGAAACUGCGGGGCUUGAGUGUGGGAGAGGUGAGUGGAAUUCCCGGUGUGAGCGGUGAAAUGCGUAGAUAUCGGGAGGAACACCUGUGGCGAAAGCGGCUCACUGGACCAUAACGUGACGCUGAGGCACGAAAGCUAGGGGAG